rnacentral:lncRNA from 1 species
CUGCGGAGGCUUUACUGAAGGAAGAACAGGGACAGGGUUUGUCUGGUAUGAUUAGGGACUAGGAUGGUGUACGUGGAACAACUCCUGGUAAGACCAGGGUUGAAGUGAGAAGUGGAAUUGACACAGAGAGCAGGGGCCCGCCCUAUCCAAGAGGCAGCAGAAUGCGGGGACUGACAGCAAACAAGAACACAUCAGUGGCUUAUCAAGGAGGCAGAAUGACAAGGAGGAUAAGCUGCUGAUCACCCUGGCUGAGAAGAGUUCCAUGGCAGAGGCAGCAGCCUAGUUCCCCUCUAUGUCUUAUUAUAGCUUCAAGCUCUUGAAACUUCAGGAGAAAAAAAAAUAUGUAAGAAUCUCCAUCCUAAUGGAUAAGACUUCUUUCUUCACUUUGGUUUCCAAUGGACCCUACUUGACUGCUAUAACAAUGGCUUUUAAGUCAAGUCUGAAGGAAGCAACUGAUCCUUCAGAAAGAUGAUGGCACUGGUGUGGAGAAAAGGGAAAGAUUAUAUACUGAAGGUGGAGAUGUAAAUGAUACAGCCUGUAUGGAAAACAGGAUGGAGGUUUCUCGAAGAACUAAAAAUAAAACUACACUUCAAUCCAGCAAUCCCACUACUGGCUAUUUAACCAAAGGGAAAAACAGUUAUAUAAAAAAGAUGCCUGCACUUGUGUGUUUAUCACUGCAUAAUUUACAAUAACAAAGAUAUGGAAUCCACCCAAGUGUAAGUGUCCAUCAGCACGUGAUUAGAUAAAAUGAACGUGGUACGUAUACACCAUGGAAUACUACUCAGCCAUCAAAAAAAGUGAAAUCAUAUCUUUUGCAGCAACAUGGAUGGAACUGGUAGCCAUUGUCUUAAAGGAAACAACUCAGAAACAGAAAGCCAAAUAUCACAUGAUCUUACUUAUAAGUGGAAGGUCAGUAAUGUGUACACAUGGAAAUGGAGGGAGGAAUAGUGAGCUGGAGACUCAGAAGGGUGGAGGUGAGGGGUGAUGAAUUACUUAAUAGGUACAACGUACAUUACUUGUGAUAGUUACACUAAAAGCACAGACUUCAGCACUAUGCAAUAUAUCCAUGUUACAUAACAGCAUUUGUACCCUUUAAAUUUAUGCAAAUAAAACUAACAAAAUAGACUUCUCUUUUCUACCAGUGUCCCCCAACUUUAGAGCAG